GCCAGGCUGGAUCCACCCGAGACGCAGUAAGAUUGACCUCGCUGGUAGGAUGCAGUGUACCCGCGGCAAGACGGAAAGACCCCUUGGGGCUUUACUAGAGGUGGGCCCUGGACGUGGAGCCUUGAUGUGGAGGAUAGGUGGGAGGCAUUGACGCGCGGACGCCAGUCUGCGUGGAGCCAUCCCCGCAAGACCGCCCUUUAAUGUUUGAUGUUCUACCGUUGGCCCCUGACCGGGGUUGCGGACAGUGUCUGGUGGGUAGUUUGACUGGGGCGGACUCCUCCCAAAGCGUAACGGAGGAGCACGAAGGUUAGCUAAUCCUGGUCGGACAUCAGGAGGUUAGUGCAAUGGCAUAAGCUAGCUUGACUGCGAGCGU
rnacentral:rRNA from 1 species